UACAGAGGUGGCAAGCGUUGUUCGGAAUUACUGGGCGUAAAGGGCGCGUAGGCGGUUCGUUAAGUCCUGUGUGAAAUCCCCCGGCUCAACUGGGGAACUGCACAGGAAACUAGCGGGCUUGAGUUCGGGAGAGGGAAGCGGAAUUCCGGGUGUAGCGGUGAAAUGCGUAGAUAUCCGGAGGAACACCUGAGGUGAAGACGGGUUGCUGGGCUGACACUGACGCUGAGGCGCGAAAGCUAGGGUAGCAAACGGG
rnacentral:rRNA from 1 species